UUUAGCCGUUGGUUUCUUUCCAUUGUCCAAUUUGAAUAUAGAGAGACUUCCGGUGAAAAUCCUCGUUAAUCCUCACCUGUGUCGGUUUGGUCUUUGCCCUCGAUUUUGUUCAAUCGGUGUACCUCUGUUGCAAAAAAUUGCCUCUCGAUUAAUUGUUUUCAAUGCUAGCGGUGAUUUCUAAUCUAAGCCAAGGUCGUGAGAAUCAGACGUGCUCAGGCACGAAAUCAAUUGUCUGCUCGAAUUAAAGAUUGAUGGUCCUCAGCUAUCCUGCAGUGAGAAGCACCUCAAAGAUUUCUCACGGCAAGGCAGACCUACUACGAUCGUGGUUCUGCAAGGCCUCUGCGGGUCAUAUGAAUAUUCAGCCCACCCGCAACCUUCAAUGAGAACGUAUUCUGUAUGGACUAUUUUGAAUGUUUCUUUGUGAUCCUACGAGGUACUCAUCAUCUCCAUCCUUAUCUCUUUCUUUUUCUAUCUUUGUUCUAAGACUACGUAUUUCCCUAACACCCACAAUCGGUUGACACCUUGAGCCCCAAAACAGAUCCCAUCAUCUUCACUUCCUUCAGCCAAAAGUCCAUGGCUCUUCCUCUCUUGCUUUCCUCUUCUUUUUCCCAUCACGUAGCAGCUGAAAUGGACGAUAGCAGUUGAAGCAAGGGGUGGCAGUGAAAAUUUAAGUAAUAAGCAAGAGCAGCAGCCUGCACAAUACACACAAACAGCAACCAUGUUUAGCUUUUCUUUGAAUAUAUGCUGCUGUCCAGAAUUUAUGUUGUGAGUUUCACCUUCCUUUUCUCAUGUCUUUCUUCUAUAUCUUGUGUAUUUGAGUGGAUAAUCAUAAGGAAGGAAAAUAGGAUCUGUAAAUAGGAUUAAACCUACCUGUUAGAGCUCAAAAUACAUCAGGAAAUUUGUGAUGUUUUCUAUUUGUGCUGCAGCAGUUUCCCCUUCAUUUUUAGCUUAUAUCUUCACUCUACAAGGCAGGAACUUUUGCUUAAAUUUCAUUUGUAAGAAGACUAAGUUCAGUUUAGUUUAAAACUCCAUCAUUUCCCCCUCUCUCAGUUCACGUUUAGCACCUAAAAAGAUAGCAGCAACACACUUCCAAGUUCUGAAAUUUUCUGCAACAGAUUCUGUCAUGG